UACGUAGGGUGCAAGCGUUGUCCGGAAUUAUUGGGCGUAAAGAGCUCGUAGGCGGUUUGUCGCGUCGAAUGUGAAAACCCGGGGCUCAACCCCGGGCCUGCAUUCGAUACGGGCAGACUAGAGUUCGGUAGGGGAGUCUGGAAUUCCUGGUGUAGCGGUGAAAUGCGCAGAUAUCAGGAGGAACACCGGGUGGCGAAGGCGGGACUCUGGGCCGAUACUGACGCUGAGGAGCGAAAGCGUGGGGAGCGAACAGG
rnacentral:rRNA from 1 species